rnacentral:tRNA from 1 species
GUCUGGGUAGCUCAGUAGGUAGAGCAUAGGACUGAAAAUCCUUGUGUCAGUGGUUCAAUUCCACUUCCAGACA